UGUAAGCGUAUACCAAAGUUGUUGCAGUUAAAACGCUCGUAGUCGGAAUUUGGCAGUUCCGGAUGUGUGCACGUCGUGUGCGCACUACGCGGGGAUUGCUUUUGUGGUCUUGCGUAGGAUGAGGCACUUUUAUUAGUGAACGUCCUCACGCAACCACUUUUUACUGUGAGAAAAUCAGAGUGCUCAAAGCAGGCAUUUGCCGUGAAUGUAUUAGCAUGGAAUAAUAGAAUAGGACUUGGUUCUAUUUUGUUGGUUUGUUGGGACUGAGUAAUGAUUAAGAGGGACAGUUGGGGGCAUUUGUAUUUCGGUGCUAGAGGUGAAAUUCUUAGAUUACCGAAAGACAAACUGCUGCGAAAGCGUCUGCCAAGGAUGUUUUCAUUGA
rnacentral:rRNA from 1 species